rnacentral:rRNA from 1 species
CAGCCGCCGCGGGAAUACGGAGGGGGCUAGCGUUGUUCGGAAUUACUGGGCGUAAAGCGCACGUAGGCGGCUUGGUAAGUUAGAGGUGAAAGCCCGGAGCUCAACUCCGGAAUUGCCUUUAAGACUGCCGAGCUAGUAGGUGAGAGAGGUAAGUGGAAUUCCGAGUGUAGAGGUGAAAUUCGUAGAUAUUCGGAAGAACACCAGUGGCGAAGGCGGCUCACUGGCUCAUUCUAGACGCUGAGGUGCGAAAGCGUGGGGAGCAAACAGGAUUAGAUACCCCCGUAGUCCCUGUCUCUUAUAC